rnacentral:rRNA from 1 species
GACGAACGCUGGCGGCGCGCUUAACACAUGCAAGUCGAACGGAAAGGCCUGCUUUCCCUUGUGGAUUGCGGGUACUCGAGUGGCGAACGGGUGAGUAACACGUGAGUGAUCUGCCCCCAACUUGGGUAUAAGCCUGGGAAACUGGGUCUAAUUCCCGAUAGGACUGCAGGGUGGUGCCUGUGGUGGAAAACGAUUUUCUAGUGGUUGGGGAUGAGCUCGCGGCCUAUCAGCUUGUUGGUGGGGUAAUGGCCUACCAAGGCGGCGACGGGCAGCCGGCGGGGGAGGGUGGACGGGCACAUUGGGACUGGGAUACGGCCCAGACUCCUACGGGAGGCAGCAGUGGGGAAUAUUGCACAAUGGGCGGAAGCCUGAUGCAGCGACGCCGCGUGGGGGAUGACGGCCUGCGGGUUGUAAACUCCUUGCGACAGCGAGGAAGCCACCUGGUUGGAAGGGUGGUGACGGUAGUGGUAGAAGAAGCACCGGCUAACUACGUG